rnacentral:pre_miRNA from 1 species
AAAAGUUGCAUUUGUAUGGAGUUGGAACUUUUACCUACGUUUGCCGUUAGGGGUGCUGUUCCGAAUGCAUACAAAUUUGACAUU